rnacentral:snRNA from 1 species
GGAUGUGAGGGCGACCUGGCUGCGACAUCUGUCACCCCGUUGACCGCCAGGGUUGAUUGGGCUCAUCUGGCUGGCUAGGCGGGGGUCCCCUUCCUCCUUCACCGCUCCAUGUGCCUCCCUCCCGAAGCUGCGCGCUCGGUCGGAGAGGACGACCUUCCCCGACAGAGGAGGACCGUUCUUCCGUCAAGGGUGUACGAGUAGCCACGCUCCCCUGCUAGAACCUCCAAACAGGCUCACGAGUGCCCUCCUUCAUGCCCAUCA